AACGAACGCUGGCGGCAUGCCUAACACAUGCAAGUCGAACGAGGCUUUCAGGCAUAGUGGCGCACGGGUGCGUAACGCGUGGGAAUCUGCCCUUGGGUUCGGAAUAACAGUGAGAAAUUGCUGCUAAUACCGGAUGAUGUCUUCGGACCAAAGAUUUAUCGCCCAGGGAUGAGCCCGCGUAGGAUUAGCUAGUUGGUGGGGUAAUGGCCUACCAAGGCGACGAUCCUUAGCUGGUCUGAGAGGAUGAUCAGCCACACUGGGACUGAGACACGGCCCAGACCCCUACCCGAGGCAGCAGUGCCGCAGAUUCGCCAGGGGCCGCAAGCCUGUGGCAGCCAGGCCGCGUGACAGACGAAGGUCUUAGGGUGGUAAAGCCUGGUUAGUCGGGAAGAGCAGGAGAGUACCUGGAGAAUAAGCCCCGGCUAACCCCGUG
rnacentral:rRNA from 1 species